UAUCUCUCCGUACGGGGAAGGAUGAGAAGCUUCGACUAAGGUUCGAUUCGAGCGAAAGCGAGAAAGCGUUGCCAACGGCAACGACCCGAAGGGCGAAGCGCG
rnacentral:sRNA from 1 species